UACGUAGGGUGCGAGCGUUAAUCGGAAUUACUGGGCGUAAAGUGUGCGCAGGCGGCUGCGCAAGUCGAGUGUGAAAGCCCCGGGCUUAACUUGGGAAUUGCGCUCGAAACUACGUGGCUGGAGUGUGGCAGAGGAAGGUGGAAUUCCACGUGUAGCGGUGAAAUGCGUAGAGAUGUGGAGGAACACCAAUGGCGAAGGCAGCCUUCUGGGCCAACACUGACGCUCAUGCACGAAAGCGUGGGGAGCAAACAGG
rnacentral:rRNA from 1 species